rnacentral:rRNA from 1 species
AUUGAACGCUGGCGGCAGGCCUAACACAUGCAAGUCGAGCGGUAGAGAGGUGCUUGCACCUCUUGAGAGCGGCGGACGGGUGAGUAAUGCCUAGGAAUCUGCCUGGUAGUGGGGGAUAACGCUCGGAAACGGACGCUAAUACCGCAUACGUCCUACGGGAGAAAGCAGGGGACCUUCGGGCCUUGCGCUAUCAGAGGAGCCUAGGUCGGAUUAGCUAGUUGGUGAGGUAAUGGCUCACCAAGGCGACGAUCCGUAACUGGUCUGAGAGGAUGAUCAGUCACACUGGAACUGAGGCACGGUCCAGACUCCUACGGGAGGCAGCAGUGGGGAAUAUUGGACAAUGGGCGAAAGCCUGAUCCAGCCAUGCCGCGUGUGUGAAGAAGGUCUUCGGAUUGUAAAGCACUUUAAGUUGGGAGGAAGGGUCGUUACCUAAUACGUGACGAUUUUGACGUUACCGACAGAAUAAGCACCGGCUAACUCUGUGCCAGCAGCCGCGGUAACAC